rnacentral:lncRNA from 1 species
CAAGAAGCUAGUCCCUGAGUUCUUGUCAUACUCUAGCAUGGUGUGUCCAAUUAACAGAACCCAGAUAGAAAUGAGCUUUGUUCUCAAUAGCUCCCACUUACGGUAAGUUCUAUGGAACAAGGUAAAAGAGUUCCAGUGUGGUCAAUAGACUGAGGAGUAGAGUAAAACUUAAAUACCCAACAGUCCAGGCCGUGAAGUCACCAUAAGCAUGGAGCAGAUUUAGCCCUUCAUAGGAAUGGGGAAUUGGUAGGUGUGGUGUUUGCCCAUUCGUUUGAAAAUGUCUGUACAGGGGAGAGAGAAAGGGUUAAAAAUAUAGACCAAUAGGAAAGUCGGAGGCGGAGCCUACCCGUUUAUAAAAGGGCUUAGCCCGAGGUUUGAGUGUGGGUGGUUGGUUGGUUUUAGUGGGUUGGUUGGUUGGGAAAGGCAGUUGGAAAAGCAGUUGGCAGGCAGUUGGAAAUAGAGAGACAGUUAGUGCAAUGGGUUCUUUUGUGAGGGGAGGUAGAAGAGAUAGAGACAGGAUAAAAGAAGAUUAAGAAGGUAAUGAGUAACGUUUGGAAUGCAGUUAAAGUCUGCAAUAAACUACACUCUUCUUUGUUAACUUGAGAACCUGACUGAGACUAAGUGAUUUACCAGGGGGGACCUGGUUGGUGGCAGCGGAUUAGUGGUGUAUGGGUCAAUAGUCCGUGAGAUGACCGGGGGCUCCGUAUGAAUGCCACAGUAGGUAUCCAGUUAUUAUAAGACUAUAGUUUCCAUUAACCAUGACCAUUGACUAUGCUGGCUGAGGCUGAUGGGAGUUGGAUUCCAACAACAUCUGGAGGAUCACAGGUUACCCACUCUUAAGCCACACCACACUUGCAUCAAACAUUGAGUAGAACACCAGAGGGCCCAUCACUACCACAGGGUUUUGGUAAUAUGACAAAGUUGCUUGUUUUAAACAGUUUUGGAUUUUGCAAAGAAAAAAGAAAAUAAAUAUAUUCCUGCCCACCUCACAUUCAUCACAGGCAAUUUGUUAUUAUCAGAUAAUGACAUCUUUUAAGCAAAAUAAUAGUGUCUCACAGUCAGGCAGUAAGCAAGCCGCAUAAGCAAACUGUUCAUUAUGAAGCUCUGCGGCUAGUAUAUUACAUGAACAAAACACUGGAAUUCUUCACUUCAGUCUGAAAAACACAAAAUCCUCAGUGAUCUGAGUGGGGCUGGAGUCCAUGUGAAACAUCUACCAUAUGUAACACGUGUCCCCCCCCCAACAAUUAGCUAGGGAAAUAUAGCUAUAGAUAUAUACUCUGUGUGUGUGUGUGUGUGUGUGUGUAGUCAGUAUACCAUGCAGAAUAUAGGUGCAAAGUUGCUCAGGUUGGUAUCAUAGCAACAAAACCAAUAUUCUAGCACCCUAAUUUGCAUAUAUGGUGUGGGGGUGGAGUAGUCUCUAUUCUUAGAUUCAGAUUUAGUAGAUACCAGCAAUUGAUCAUGUGUCAAGGGUGCUUCCAACCCUUUAUUGUAAACAAAAAAAGAACACCAUCACUUCUGCAGUUCUGGAUACCUGCACACACUGUCCUAGCAUCUAGGCAGCUACUCCCAGGUCCACAAUCUAUGGAGCAGUUGCAGCAACUGGGGACCACUCCCCCUCCACCAGUUUAUGUACCUUCCCCUGACAGGCUGCAUGCACCUAGCCAGAGACUAUGCCUGUGUAGAAGCUACCCCUGCUCUUCCUGCUUCAGUUCUCUCCUGGUUCUGGGAGGCAGUGGUGCAGGAGAAGGUGGGGAAGCACCCAGCCUUUCACUUGCCUGUCCUGCCUCUUCCUCCAGUUCUGAAGCCCACCCCCCGCCUCUGAUUCUCGCCUCCUGUCUUGUACAGGCCCCCACAAACCACAGUCCCCCUCUCCUGAGUCAGCCCACUUCCAGCAGUGCACACUCACAGCGUUCUGCCCGUCCCUGAUGUCAUGAAGGAAACAGGCUCUGUAUGCAUUUAAACCUUUCGUUACGCAUUGGCAUGUGUUGAUUCAUUUCAAUAUAUGCAACUGUAAAGUUGCCAGGCCAUAUUCCCUCUCCUUUUCCAUGAAAUGCUUCCCUUACGCAUCUCUAGCCAUCGAUCUCCUUGCAGUUGCAGUAAUAGGGCAUCCUAUCCACAACAAUUCCUGAGAUGAAGUUACCAUAAGGCAUGGGUAGGCAAACUAAGGCCCAGGGGCUGGAUCUGGCCCAAUCACCUUCUAAAUCUGGCCUGUGGGCGGUCCGGGAACCAGCAUGUUUUUACAUGAAUAGAAUGUGUCCUUUUAUUUAAAAUGCUUCUCUGGGUUAUUUGUGGGGCAUAGGAAUUCAUUCAUUUUUUCCCUCCAAAAUAUAGUCCGGCCCCCCACAAAGUCUGAGGGACAGUGGACUGGCCCCCUGCUGAAAAAGUUUGCUGCCCCCUGCAAGGUGUUAUGCCAAACAGGUAAUAGUAGGAAACAUGAGGGUGUGCACACAAGGCCUUCCUCAGUUUCCCCCUGCAUGCCAGGCUCUGUGUUGAAUUGAGAAGGUCCACAGGAAGCCCUUAAAUGAGCUCAUCUGGAAACAAUUGGAAAAUUCUGCCUGACCCUGGCCUAUCUGAGUUCCUGGUUGUGUUGAUGCUUCUAAGCAUAUCCAUCUGAAUACCUGGCACGGAGAAUGCCAAAGAUAGAGUGCCUGGGGGCUGAUAUCACCCCACAUGCUGAACAUUAUCUUUUUUUUUAAAAAAAAUGAUAUUUAUUAAAGUUUCAAAGAAAAAAUUACAUAGAUAAAAAGAAAAGAAAAAGAAAUAAAAAAGAAAAAAAUACAAAAUACAGAAAAAAGAUAAAAAACACUUUAAAAAAAAACACACAUCGAUCUUUCCAUAACUUACAUUUCAUUUCCUUACUUCCCUGACUUCCUCACACCUCCCUUUUUUUGUAUUCCAGUUCUAUUAGUUAAUUCAGCAAUUCCUUUCCCUCUUUGUUUUUGUCUUAAUCCUUUAACUUAACAUAUUAUAACUUUAGAUUCUCAUCUGUUAACAAUCCAUUUGUACAUACACCUUUAUAACAUUGCUGCUAAGACCACUUAAUUUCAUUCUGACAUCAUUCUAACAUUCAUUAAUUUUGCAAUAUUUCUGUAAAUAGUCUUUAAAUUUCUUCCAAUCUUCUUCCACCGACUCUUCUCCCUGGUCUCGGAUUCUGCCAGUCAUUUCCGCCAGUUCCAUAUAGUCCAUCACCUUCAUCUGCCAUUCUUCCAGAGUGGGUAAAUCUUGUGUCUUCCAAUACUUUGCAAUAAGUAUUCUUGCUGCUGUUGUGGCAUACAUAAAGAAAAUUCUGUCCUUCUUUGGCACCAAUUGGCCGACCAUGCCCAGGAGAAAAGCCUCUGGUUUCUUCAAGAAGGUAUAUUUAUAUACCUUUUUCAUUUCAUUAUAGAUCAUCUCCCAGAAAGCCUUAAUCCUUGGGCAAGUCCACCAAAGGUGAAAGAAUGUACCUUCAGUCUCUUUACAUUUCCAACAUUUAUUAUCGGGCAAGUGAUAGAUUUUUGCAAGCUUGACUGGUGUCAUGUACCACCUGUAUAUCAUUUUCAUAAUAUUCUCUCUUAAGGCAUUACAUGCCGUAACUUCAUACCUGUGGUCCAUAACUGUUCCCAGUCAGCCAUCAUUAUGUUAUGUCCAACAUCUUGUGCCCACUUAAUCAUAGCAGAUUUAACCGUUUCAUCCUGAGUAUUCCAUUUCAACAGCAAGUUAUACAUCUUUGACAAAAUCUUAGUUUUGGGUUCUAACAGUUCUGUUUCUAAUUUUGAUUUUUCCACCUGGAAGCCUAUUUUCUUAUCCAAAUUGUAUGCCUCCAUUAUCUGAUAAUAAUGAAGCCAAUCUCGCACUUUGUUUUUUAGUUUCUCAAAGCUCUGCAAUUUCAGUCUAUCUCCCUCUUGUUCCAGAAUUUCCCAAUAUUUCGGCCAUUUGGCCUCCAUAUUGAGCUUUUUCAGAGCUUUCGCUUCCAUCGGUGACAGCCACCUUGGGGUUUUAUUUUCCAGUAGGUCUUUAUAUCUUAUCCAGACAUUAAACAAUGCUUUCCUGACAAUAUGAUUUUUAAAUGCUUUAUGUGCUUUGACCUUAUCAUACCACAAAUAUGCAUGCCAUCCAAAUACAUUAUUAAAACCUUCUAAGUCCAAAAUGUCUGUGUUUUCAAGAAGCAGCCAUUCUUUCAGCCAGCAAAAAGCUGCUGAUUCAUAAUAAAGUUUAAGGUCUGGCAGGGCAAAUCCACCUCUUUCCUUUGCAUCCGUUAGUAUUUUAAAUUUUAUUCUAGGCUUCUUGCCCUGCCAGACAAAUCUAGAGAUAUCUCUCUGCCACCUCUUGAAGCAAUCCAUUUUGUCCAAAAUUUGCAAUGUUUGAAAGAGAAAUAACAUUCUAGGCAAUACAUUCAUUUUUAUCGCAGCAAUACGGCCUAGCAGUGAAAGCUUCAAAUUUGACCAAAUUUCUAAGUCUUUUUUCACUUCAGCCCAGCAUUUUUCAUAAUUGUCUUUAAAUAGAUUCCCAAUUAUUGCUGUCAUGUUAAUCCCCAGGUAUUUCACUUUCUUAACCACUGUUAAACCUGUCUCAUUCUGAAACCUCUCUUCUCAAUCACAGUUAAGUUUUUCUCUAAGACCUUUGUUUUUAACUUAUUCAAUUUAAAUCCUGCAACCUGACCAAAUUCUUGAAUCAGUUCCAAAACCCUUUUAGUACUAGAUUCUGGCUCCUGCAAUGUCAAUACUAAGUCAUCUGCAAAUGCUCUCAAUUUGUACUGUUUAGCUCCGACUUGUAUACCUUUAACCAAUUGGUCCCUUCUAAUCAUAUUCAGCAGGACCUCCAGGACCGAUAUAAAUAGCAAUGGGGAGAUUGGGCAACCUUGUCGUGUCCCUUUUUCUAUCUUAAAUUCCUCCGUCACCACGUUAUUUACAAUUAAUUUAGCCUUUUGUUCUGAAUAAAUUGCACUUAUACCGUUUUCAAAGCCUUGGCCUACCCCCAUCCCCUGUAGGUUCUUCUUCAUGAAACUCCAAGAAAUAUUGUCAAAGGCUUUCUCCGCGUCCACAAAUAUCAAAACUGCCUUGGUAUUUAUAUUCACUUGUAGUUUUUCUAAAAUAUUGAUUAUGUUUCUCACAUUGUCAGACAAAUGUCUACCCGGAGAAAGCCUGCUUGAUCUUUAUGUAUCUCUUCCAUUAGGACUCUUUUUAGUCUUUUAGCCAAAAUGUCUGCAAAGAUUUUGUAAUCCACAUUGAGCAGUGAUAUGGGGCGGUAGUUCUUAAGCUGGGUCUUUUCAGUCUCUAUUUUCGGUACAAGUGUAAUAUACGCUUCUUUCCACGACUCUGGUGCCCUUUUCCCACCCAUUAUUUCGUUACAGACUUCCUUUAAAGGUUGUACUAGCCAUUCCUUCAAGGAUCUGUAGUAUCUAGAAGUCAGUCCAUCCGGUCCUGGAGAUUUACCUAGUUGCAUAUUCUGAAUGGCACCUUCUACCUCCUGUUCAGUUAUUUUAUAGUUCAGCAUUAAUUUAUUUUCUUGAGAGAUUUUUUGUAAUCCAUUUGUUUUCAAAAAUCGGUCUACAUCAAUUUCUUUCUGUGGCCCUUGUGUAUAUAGUUGUUUAAAAUACCUCUGGAAACAAUUUCUAAUCUCAACUGGGUUCUGUAUAUUCCUUCCUUCCACUUCUAAAUUUGUGACAGUAUUUAGUUUUUGUCUUUUUUUCAUUUGCCAAGCCAACAAUUUCCCACAUUUAUUAGCCGACUCAAAUGUCUUUUGUCUCAUUUGUUUAAUUUUCCAUUCUAUCUCCUGAUUCAUCAUUUUCAUGUAUUGUACUUGAUAUAACUUUAUUUCUCUCAAAAUCUCUUGCGACUUUGGUUUUGCUCUCAAUUUCUUUUCACUUUCCUUUAUUUUCUCCAAUAUUUUAUCCUUCUUCUCAUUUUGGAUUCUCUUCUUUAAUGCAUUCUGUUGUAUCAAGAACCCUCUCAUAACAGCUUUGCUUGCGUCCCAGAUUACUCUUUUUUCAACAUUGGUGUUCAUAUUUAUCUCAAAAUAGUCUCUCAAGGUUUUUUGGGCCUUCUUAAUGACUUCUUCAUCUCUAAAUAAGGCAUCAUUCAUCCUCCAUCUGAAGGAGCCGGUUGGUGUUAGUUUCAUCUCCAUCUUAACAGCAUUAUGGUCGGAGCAGGUUUUUGGGCAGAUUUCUGCUUUUCUUGUCUUUGGUGCCAUUCCUCUAGUUAGCCAUAUUUGGUCAAUUCUUGUCCAUGUCAGUUUGGCUUCAGAAAAGAAGGUUCCCUCUCUGGCCAGGGGAUUCUUUGUUCUCCAGAUAUCAACUAAGUCCAAGUUGUCUGUCAUCUCAAAAAAGGUUUUCGGUAGUCUACCAUCCUUAGUGACUACCUGUCUUUGUGCCUUGUCCAUAUGUGUAGAUACCACUCCAUUCAUAUCUCCCAUCAAAAUCACAUUAUAGUCCAAAUAGUCCAUCAAGGUCUCAUGCAACUUUUUAAAGAAUUCAGAUUUCCCUCAUUUGGUGCAUAAACUCCUACUAUUAAAAAUUUCUCUCCUUGUAUUUGAAUUUCAAUUGCCACAAAUCUUCCUUGGUCAUCUUUGAAGAUAAAUUUCGGUAAUAGUCUCUCCUUUGCAUAAAUCACUACUCUUUUUUUAACUUUAUCCGAAGAAAUAAAUUCCUGGCCCAGUCUUUUGUUGAUCAAUACUUUCCUGUGUAACCUUGUUACAUGUGUUUCCUGUAAACAAAUCAAGUCCAAUUGUUCCUUUUUAAUAAAUGAAACACAGAUUUCCUUUUCUGAGGGGAGUUGAGACCAUUACAAUUCCAGCUUAAUAGUUGCAGAGCCAUGAUGUAGUUACUUUACUUCUCCUCCAACUGCACCAAGUGCCUGUUCCUGUUCUGUCGGUGGUAUCACCUUCUCCAGGCGGUCUUUUAAUUCAAAAGGUAGUCUUGGUAUGUCUAAAGUUCCUCUUUCUAGUAUUCUUGACUCUUCUCCAGCUUCUUUCUGCAGGUCUUCUCCGUGGUCUCUCAAAAAUCUUUCUUUGUCGUCCUCUGAUCUUAUUUUUAUCUUUCUUCCUUUGAAACUAAAGGAAAGGCCUUGGGGGAAUUCCCACCUAAAGAUGAUUUUGUUGCUUCUCAGCAGGGCAACCAGAUCUCUAUAAUUGGAUCUAAGGUCCAAAAGAUAUUUCGGAAUGUCCUUAAAUAUCUCCACCUUUGACUGAUGUAUUUCCAAAGUCUUCUGGAAGUGCAGACUCAAGAUUUUGUCUCUCUCCUCUUUUGUUCGGAGGGUGAUCAAACAGUCUCUCACCCUGUUCUUCUUCCCUCCUCUUCCAAGCCUGAAAGCGCUCACUAUCUUAAAGUUGUCCUUCUCCAAGUCUGGAUUCCAAAAGUCUGCAAAUUCCUGGGUAAGGAAGUCAGUCAAGUUGUCUUUCUCAAGUUCAGGUACGGCCCUGAUCCUCAAAUUCAUUUGUUUCUCCUUCAAUUCAAUCAUAGACAAUAUUAACCUGUGGUCUUCAAGUUGCUUGUGUAUCGGUGGUAUCUUCUCUUCUACAGCAACUGCUAUUUCCUUUGCUUCUUCAGCUGUCUUUCGGGUCGAAGUAGAUUCCUGUAGCAAUUUCUCAAUGGUUUCUGUGUUAGUAUUUACCUUCUGUCCCAAAUUGUUAAUACUUGUGGUAUUUUGAUCAAUUUUAACUGAUGCUUCAGCUACUUGUUUACUUAUUUUUUCCAGAGAUUCAUUAAUUUUACCUAGUGCCUGAGCUAAAGCAUCUUCGGAUGCCAUUCCUUUGGGUUUAGAUUGUACCAAUGCAGCCCCUGUUGGUAAGCCAGAAGGGCCAGAAGGGCCAGAUGUUGAUGCUCUUUGCUGCAGCCCAACGUCUGGGCGAAAUGAUCUACCAGACCUCAUUGUUUUUUCCUGAAGCAAAUCUAUUUUCUCUUUUUCUUUUGCCAUAACACUCUAGAUAAGGCCCAAGGUCAAUCCCACGACCAGAAUUUGUUUUGAAGUGGAAAAUUCCCCUGGCCCAGUUAUUAUUGUAACUGUUUCAAACUUCCUCUAGGGGGACACAGUAGCAGUCCGAAGUUGUUACCUUAAAAUAAAUAACCUUUUUUCUUUUAAUCCCCCCAGUUCACAAAAUAGAUGACAGUUUCAAUUUUCAGUUAUUUUCCAGUUACUUUGAAACCAGGAGAAGCCAGCCAGAAAUAUUGUAUCCCACUUGUAUCUCACUUGCAGAGUUAGCUGUCAGAAAGUACUUUCACCAAUAGCGCAUUUCACAGUACGGCAUUCUUAUUGUUCAUUGGCAGCCCGUUCCCAGGGUUUAAGCGGUGGAUUUUAGCUUCCUUUUCUCUCUUUUUGCAGGGAAAUACAGUUCACACCUUUCCCCCCUCCUCUCCUGCAAUCAAGGGGGGAAAUCGCUUGUUUUGAUGAUAGAAUUAUAGUCCUUUUCAAGCGUCUUUCAAGGUUUUAGCUUACAAGUUCAUUGCUUUACUCUAUUUACAAAGAACGGAAGGCAGACUUCCUGUUUAUGCCUCUCCGCUUCGGUAUCAAAUUACUUCUUUAUUCUUUGUUCUCCUUUAAUUCCCAAAUUAGCCUACUCACGGAUCGUUGUUUUGUAGCCAAAUUGUCACAGGAAAAGGUAGCGCUCUCCGGUAACGGCUGUGCGGCUUCGCUCCACGGAAGAAGCAGUUGACUCACAGCACCGCGCCGCUUCCCUGCUUCACUCCGGAACCCGUAAUCGGGCUCCUUUGCAAAUUGGGGGGGGCGCAAAAGGUGCCCGCCGAGUCCCACGGUCACAGGCUUCACCCGCCUGUGAUUUUAGAAGGGUCCCCGCUUCGCCGUAGUGGUACAGACCCGAUUUCUGCAGAGCCGGUCCCCUCCGAGUCAGAGGGACUCCGCCAUUACCGAUGGCGCCACCCCGGAAGUCUUUUUAACAAGCAAACCAACCAAUAUGGUUGCUAAUCACACAAUCUGAAUAAUGACUAAAGACCCCUCAGACAUCUUUUUUAUUAUUUUUGUGCAUGGUUAUAUCUGCUCAUGGGAUGCGGGUGGCACUGUGGGUUAAACCACAGAGCCUAGGGCUUGCCGAUCAGAAGGUCGGCGGUUCGAAUCCCUGUGACGGGGUGAGCUCCCGUUGCUUGGUCCCUGCUCCUGCCCACCUAGCAGUUCGAAAGCACAUCAAAGUGCAAGUAGAUAAACAGGUACCACUCCAGUGGGAAGGUAAACGGCGUUUCCAUGCACUGCUCUGGUUCGCCAGAAGCGGCUUAGUCAUGCUGGCCACAUGACCCGGAAGCUGUACGCCAGCUCCCUCGGCCAAUAAAGUGAGAUGAGCACUGCAACCCCAGAGUUGUCUGCAACUGGACCUAAUGGUCAGGGGUACCUUUACCUUUACCUAUAUCUGCUCAUGAGUGUAUAUGGGCAGUUAUACAUGAUCUCAUUUUUAAUACUGUUUAUAUCUGCAAAAGUUUUGGGUCAGACACACUGCUUUGUUUCCAGAUGGUGCUUGUUGCAUAGCUUCCUGUUGAAAGCCUGUAUUUUUUUGUGCCACAGAUCUUACGGGGCAGAGGGGCUGUCCCACUUUCUUUGUGCUAUAGUGCAAGAGUGCCCCUCCGGAUGGCAGUAACAUUGGGAAAGCAUCACAGAACGACUAAGGAAGCAGAACACGGUGCGG